rnacentral:tRNA from 1 species
AGCAGUGUGGCUUAGUGGAAAGAGCCUGGGCUUGGGAGUCAGAGGUCAUGAGCUCAAAUCCCAGCUCUGCCA